AUCGUCCUGUCGAUGAUUAUUAAGUGCAUAGUUCAGAUGACCAAACUGUGAUUACUUGAACAAAAUAGUCUUUUCGUUCCUAGCUGACGGCCUUU
rnacentral:snoRNA from 2 species